rfam:Virgibacillus soli strain PL205 scaffold000035, whole genome shotgun sequence.
ACUUAAGGAUGGAAGGCUAAAACCGUGGCAUCCUUAUCGGCAGACUCAAAGCGCAACUUCCUGCUGCUUCACCUGCACUAGUACAUCCUUCUACGUCGCAACGCCUUCAUGAUCAACUUCUUGUUGG